rnacentral:rRNA from 1 species
UACGUAGGGUGCAAGCGUUAAUCGGAAUUACUGGGCGUAAAGCGUGCGCAGGCGGCUUUGCAAGACAGAUGUGAAAUCCCCGGGCUUAACCUGGGAAUGGCAUUUGGGACUGCAAGGCUCGAGUGCGGCAGAGGAGACUGGAAUUCCUGGUGUAGCAGUGAAAUGCGUAGAUAUCAGGAGGAACACCUAUGGCGAAGGCAGCUCGCUGGGACGGUACUGACGCUGAGGCGCGAAAGCGUGGGGAGCAAACAGG